GGAGGUAUUAAAAAGAGGAUUUAGCAGCUUACCAGAGGGUAGGUGAUACCCGUGUUUCCUUUAGCAGAAAGGUUGCUGUAAUAGAACAGGGCCUCUCAGGCUGCUGCUCUAAAUAAACACCUCUGUUUCACCAGGAUGGGAACGAUGUACUCACGUGAAGUACAAAGGGCAUCUGGAAGGAGCUGAUCCAGCAGGUCAAGAGUCUUGUCACUAGAGCUGAGGCACCAGAUAACAGCACUUCAUCAGACUUGACCACGAAUCCACACAGGAAAGUAAAAUAUUUGAAUCCAAGCACAGAUAUCCCUUCAGAACGCUUGAGCAGUCCAACUAGAAAACAAGCAGGAGCAGAGAUUCAUGCUGCACGUUCCAUUCUGUAACCCACGGUGACCAAAAGGAAUAAUAAAAACAACACAAAUCUUUCUUUUGUAAGCCAAUGCUCCUCCUAUUUCUUCAUUUGUAAGUUACAUCUUGUAUAAACAUGCUUUUUAUGAUAGACUGAGACAGGUAUACGGUUAAUGUUUACACAGAAAUGGCUGCGCUUUUUAAAAACCCUAUUCAAAGCAAGCGUAGGACAAAUUCUUUGAAUAAACAACUUUCAAGCUGUUCCAUCUAUGAAGGAUGAGAGCUCUCUAAGUAUGCCUGAAAAGAUUGCACAACUCCAGCUGCCUGUGAAUUUGUAGCUACGUACUUUUAAUGUAGCAAGAAGCAUUUUGGCAACAGAAAUGUUUUGCAGGGAUGUUUUUCCUUGUUGGACAAACAGAGAGACUGAGCACGAUGUUCCUUAAUCAGGGCCUCUGUCAUCUUAAAUUAUUUUUCUUCUGCCAGGGUAAUGUAAACCAAUUAUAGCCUAAAGCCCAGAAUGCAUAUUUUCAAGAAUGCCUAAUUACUUUCACUCUGAAAUUUGAACUCGAGUUUGUCCUGUUUCUGAUUUGGGGCACCGAACUGGUUUUCCGAUUGUGUGUUUUACUGAGGGACUCUGCUAUCAGACCUCCUUUAUAUUGUCCAUCUAUGUUGCUCCUGAGCCAGCCUCAGCCCUUUGUUUCAAGUCUGCAUGUUGGAACAUGAAACAGGAUCUUUUCUUCAUUAAUGUUUCCCAUAUUUCUAUUGGUCUGACCCUAAUGGUUACACAGUACUGGACAUUUGCCAUAGAUUUACAGGAACAGCACAUAAAUCAACCUUAGGCAACUAUAAAGCAUGCACUGGGCAUGAAAAGGAUUUUCCUUGAACAUUUAUUCUGUAAACACUAAAUCUAGUUCCUUUGCCAAGGAAGAUUGCACUUAAUCUUGCAUUUUAAGUAAGCAAGAUGGAUAAUGUAAAGAAGUGGAUGUUAUUGCCUUUGUAACAAGCUUUUCUUACUAAUUUUUACAGUAUUCCAGGAUUUGAUAAGAAUGUUUGCAGUGAGGCUUCUCCUGUACCUACUUACUGUUCACAGUAAUUCUUCUGUGUGUCUUAGUUACAUAUAAACACACAUUUCCUUCUUGGACAGCAAAGUAAGGCAUGCGUGCCUGAAUGAACCUGUGGCAUUUUCUGGUUUCUUGCCCAUACUUCCAUUACUGCUCAGGAAGGCUUUUCAUACUCUGCACUGGAAACAAGACUACUUCAAUUAUUUCCAGAGCCCUCUUCAUUCAUACCAUUGCUCAGCUGCAGCAAGAGCUCAGUGGUGCCCCUGCCAAGUCCUCUGCUUCCUCCUGUUCCUUAACCCUGCCCUCUGUGCCUCAGCCAGCACAGGCCCCUACAGUCCUCAUCCACAACAGAUGCACUCACAGUGAACCCUGAUUGAAAACACACUACCAAACACCCUCUACCCAUUAUCUGCAAGACCCUGAAUGACAAAGGCCACCAUUUGUGUCAUCUUGGUAAAAUCAGAUCUUUACUUACUUCACCAUGAAGUUGAUGCAGGACAGAACAUAGCUCCCAGACCAAUAAACAUUAUUUCAACCACGUUAACUUCAGGUAUGGAGCAGAACACAAGGAGCAGCCACUACUAAGUGACAAGGUGCUAAAAUGCCAUACAAAAUCUAAUGCAAACAAACACAAAAUAAUAUGUGUAGUCCUAUGCUUCUAUUUUCCCCGUGUACAUGUAAAAAGACAUUUCCACAUGCACAUUUUGAAAGGCUUUCAGUGAGCUGUUACAGCUCACAGAAAAGCUUUUACUGUCAGUCUGAAACAUCAGCAGCAUUUCCCUUUGGAGUGAAAAAGAAAAAUCUGUUAGGAAUUGCACUGAAGAAGUGAGUACAAAAUACUGUUUAAACAACUGUAAAACAACAGCAGUGUCAGACUGUGGCUCAUAUUGACUCUCAUGUCUGUCACCUCCUCACACCUUUCACUCUGCAUGGCCAAGCACACAACCUCCACCUCUCUUCCCCCAUGCCAACCCCAAAUCACUCUCUUUACGUCCUUGUCUGUAUCUCUCAGGCCCCAGCUGUGGCUGCCCCUUCCCCUCUUUCACUCAAGGAAAUCUGUGUGUGCCUAGCACAUUGGAGAGGGCGGGUUGAUGUUGUCCAGAGUGGUAGCGUCUGAUGCCCUGCAAACAUUCAAGGUCAUACUGGACAGGUCUCUGAGCAACCUGAUCUAGCUGAAGAUCCCUGACCACGGUAGAAGGGCUGGACUAGCUGACCCUUAGCAGUCCCUUCUCCCUGAACUAUUCUCUGAUUGUACUCCAUCAUGGACAGAGGCUCAGGAUCCAAGGAAAGAGGAGGGAGAGCGGCCCGAGUUUUCAUAUUGAAUGGACUCAGGGUUUCACUGGAGGGCUGGGCUUUGGCUGGAAUGUUCAUGGCCUUACACACGUGGGCAUAUUCAGAGCUGGGGGUAGAAAACUACUUUUUCUGCAGCUGUGCCACGUCAGGGUGAUGGCACAUGAAGAGGAGCAGUCCACAGUGACUGCAGCACUGCAACAGCACCAUGCCUGAAUGUGGCUCCAUAGGGCCACAUUUACCAUGGUAAUUAGGGGAAACCAAGUUAGUUCUGUACUGACAGGCAAGAGUUAGCAGGGAGAAUUUGAAAGCUGCAGGAUGCUCUUUUCCCUCACAUAGCUGUCUUACAGUGGGUCCUCAGGAAAGCUCCUAACGAUGAAUUUUGGACACACAUUGAAGAAACCUUACUUUGCUACCUUGCAAGACACAAAUCUUAUUUUAAGCACCAACAAUAAUGAACAAUUGUGGCUUAAAAUGUGAUGUGCAGUGAAGCACAGAGUUCUGGCACCAGCUUUCCUCAGACCUCUUGCUGCUAGACAUCAUUAGGUCUGCUCUAGGAAAAGCACAGAGAUUCAUGGCACCAUAGUUCUGGUUUCAGCUAUCUAACUUUAAUUUUACAGCCUCCAGAGAGAAGCAGGAUAAAAAGCAAAUACCGUUUAUGUCAAAAACUUACAUUAUUCGAAACAAUUUUAAACCCCUCCUAUCCAAUAAACUAUACAUUGUAUUCUUGUGAUUCAGUUCAUAAAAUCAUAAAGAUACUGAAAAAAGUAAGCUGUUGGCAACUAGUAUGACCACACUGAAACGUGAAUCAUUGAAAUGGGGCAGAUCUCAUAUGUCCAUAGGUUUUGAAACAGCUAUCACCUAGGAUUUUUCAUUUAUCUGCUCUUUUUUCUAUGGUAAUUUAGGUAUAUUUCACCAUUCUUGUAUGUGGAGUUUGGACUUCCCCAAAUUUUAGCCUGAGCAGAAAUUGUAAUUAUUUAUCAGUGCUUGCAAAAAUAAUCUGCCUGUGCUGUGUUUUGACAAACUAAAACAAGUAAUUUUUUUACUAGUUUUGAAGUUGCCUAGGUAAAGUCACUAAGGUUUUGUGAAACAAAUUGAAAAAACCACCACCUACCUUUCCCUCUCAGGUGGCCCCAUCUGUGCCUCAACAUGUCCCCAUCCUCAGAAAAAGCUGGCAGCAGAGAUGUGAUCUGGAGAAGGUUAAGGCAGGUCACAGCAGAAGAGACCCCUGCACGUUACUUCAGGCAUGGCAAGGCAGAGCACGAUUGAUCUUUGUACAGACCCAACUACUGUUCGUUAUCUAAACACCAAAAAUAAAAUUGAGCUAAAAGUUUGAUCUAGCAACAUGACACGAGAAGUAUUUAUGGCAAAUGACAAAGGUAAGGGGUGGUGAGACAGCAGGUGACAAAGGCAAGGCAGAUGACCAAGGAAAUGUUCAAGAGUUAUUACCUGAGGAUGCCCUUACAUAUGUUCUUUCUGGAUCUCAUCCUACUAUGAUUUCAAGAAUAGCUGAAGUGGUUAUAACCACACAAUGUAAAAUGCUGUAACUGCAGCCUUUCUACUGUAUCACUUCUGAGCAGAACAAAGAGGACAAGCACAAUGUCCUCCUUGCCCCUGGGCUCCUCUUUAGACUAACAUUCUUCUUAUGCAGUGGUCUGAGGCACUUGCUCUGGCAACAAAA